AAUGAACGCUGGCGGCAGGCCUAAAACAUGCAAGUCGAACGCUGUAGCAAUACAGAGUGGCGCACGGGUGAGUAACAUGUGGGAAUAUGCCUAUUGGUACGGAACAACGUUUGGAAACGAACGCUAAUACCGUAUGGUCCCUUCGGGGUAAAGAUUUAUCGCCAAUAGAUUAGCCCGCACUAGAUUAGCUAGUUGGUGAGGUAAGAGCUCACCAAGGCGACGAUCUAUAGCCGGUCUGAGAGGACGAUCAGCCACACUGGGACUGAGACACGGCCCAGACUCCUACGGGAGGCAGCAGUUAGGAAUAUUGGACAAUGGGCGCAAGCCUGAUCCAGCCAUGCCGCGUGAGUGAUGAAGGCCUCGGGUUGUAAACGUACUUAGUCCGAUGAAUAUAAUGACUGUAGUCGGAAAAUAAAGACCCGGCCUAACUUACGUUGCCAGCAGCCGCGGUAAU
rnacentral:rRNA from 1 species